UGCAACAGGGGCUAAACUUCUGCAUGAGGU
rnacentral:piRNA from 1 species